rnacentral:rRNA from 1 species
GACGAACGCUGGCGGCGCGCUUAACACAUGCAAGUCGAACGGAAAGGCCCUGCUUUUGUGGGGUGCUCGAGUGGCGAACGGGUGAGUAACACGUGAGUAACCUGCCCUUGACUUUGGGAUAACUUCAGGAAACUGGGGCUAAUACUGGAUAGGAGCUCCUGCUGCAUGGUGGGGGUUGGAAAGUUUCGGCGGUUGGGGAUGGACUCGCGGCUUAUCAGCUUGUUGGUGGGGUAGUGGCUUACCAAGGCUUUGACGGGUAGCCGGCCUGAGAGGGUGACCGGCCACAUUGGGACUGAGAUACGGCCCAGACUCCUACGGGAGGCAGCAGUGGGGAAUAUUGCACAAUGGGCGGAAGCCUGAUGCAGCAACGCCGCGUGCGGGAUGACGGCCUUCGGGUUGUAAACCGCUUUCGCCUGUGACGAAGCGUGAGUGACGGUAAUGGGUAAAGAAGCACCGGCUAACUACGUG